GGGAAAAAAGUGGGUAGAGGUUUGGCACGUUUGGAAGGAUAACUGUUCUGUGAUUGCACACAGCUACGAGAUCGGCAGCCAGAGCACCAUCUGUGCACACAGCUUAUCCACACCGCCCGGCUUCGGCACAAAGGAAUGUGUCAGCUCCCACUUAUUCCAGGUCAGCUGAAAGCCUCUUCGUGCUCCAGUGAAAUUCUGCAACCAUUCCCUGAAGAUCUAAUCCCUUCACCCAGCACGUCUGACUGGCACAGCCUUCCUUCGGCAAGAAGCUUUUCCUGCAGCACUGCUUUUGCAGGUUGGAGCUGGGAAGGUCCAGCUGCAGAACCUCCCUGCCCUACGAGCUGCAGAACGAUCAUCUCAGGGUCCUGGGGAAUGGGUGGUGUUCGACAGCCAGAUGAAUGUGAGCCAGCAGUGUGCCCAGGUGGCCAAGAAGGCCAAGAGCAUCCUGGCGUGUAUCAGCAAUAGUGUGGCCGGCAGGACCAAGGAAGCGAUUGUCCUCCUGUACUCAGCAGUGGUUUUACCUCACUGUACAUUCCUCAUAUACCUCCUCUAGAGUUUCACUGACAACCAGAUUGCUGAGAAUUCACCUUUAUGAAUCAGAGCUAAUGGCUUGUGCUACCAUGAAAACUGGAUGAAGACAAAUACUCUUAGGAAACUGAUCUUUACUCACAGCCUAUGGACUGGAAACACAAAUUAUUUCUAUCACAUAAUGGGACUAAAUAUGCGGAGACUGAAGAGUGUAAGAGGGACUGGGACAUGUACAUGCAGCCCCGGCUGGCUGACCUGUUUCAAAACCGCAAGAUGAGGAAUGGCUACAUAGAAACUAACCUUACUUAAGGAAUAACCUUCAGAGAAAAUGUUAAUAUACACCAGGUAAAAAAUGCAAAGAAGAUUCUGAAAGACCCGCAGUCACUGCAGUUUGUAAUUAUCAUGUUCCCUCAGGAACAUUUUUCCAGGGUAGGAGUAAUGUCUGGAAACAUCUUGACCAUGUAAAGAAAAAUCGCUGAAGCUGCUGGCAAGCAAAAGACAGAACAUUCAGUUAGCGCAGCUCAUUUCAUCUCUCAGGAGUGUGGGUUGCCCUCUUUGCUCCCCGUGGGAUGUCUCCCUUGCAGUAUGCUCUUUUGGUUAGCACGGUGAAUCAGCAAUCAAGGCAUAUGUGCUGGUACAGUUGGCUGCUCCUAGAAAUCCUCUUCAGUGUAGAAUGGGAAAACGGCUGGAGUCAGAAGGGACCUUCAGACAUCAUCUGGUCUAGCCCCCCUUUCGUCUGUGUGCUUUUAAGAGUCACCAUACAGACGACUUAUAUCUGUAGCACACUUCUAGCAACUAUUAAAAAUUUAGCUAUAUUUUAUAAACUAUUUAUAAAUCAAGCCCAAGUGCAAAGUGUAGCCAAAAAUCCACCUAUGUCCUGACUGGAAGCACAGCCCUAAGAAUGCUGCCGCAGAAGUAGGUACAGAGCACCUGGGUCUUGGGCUCAAGCCAAGAGCAGGUGAAAGACCCUUCAACUAACCCAAACAUGCUGGAAGACUCAGCCUCUGGAUCUCAGCAGGAUGAAAGCCUGACAAUGGAACACAUUCACUGCACAGUCUAACUAACCCACAGUGCAAGGUUAAUAUUUUACUAGUGAAUUUAACUGAAUAUUAUGCUUAAUUGACUUUACAGAAACACGUUAGAGUGGAGUUUCAUGUGCACAGUUAAAAUAAGGGUGCUUCCUAGAUUGCCUAUACUGUGCCCCUGACACAUUAUUUUGGUUAAAAUUUUGGCUGAUUUUGCCAAAAUAAGUCAUAGGAAUACAAAAAAAAUUAUGAAUUGAUUUUGUUUCAUUUAACAUCAAUAAAGAGCCCUUCUGUUUCUCAGCCUGGUUUUAAAUCUCCUGCACGUGGAGUGCAGAGGAGCAGAGUUGUUUUAUUAUGGAUGGCUCUGAAGACUGCAGUUUCCCAGAGUUGCAUAUUUCAUGCUUUCUAUGGCCCGUGGUAUCUCCCCAGGGACAGUGCGGUAGAAGACUGCUUCCCUAAAGGAAGCACUGCAGCUGGAUAUUUGUACCUCAUUCUGCUGGAAUAAUCGUUUCUAUUUGUUCAAAAUAUAAUGUUUUCUUUGUUCUGAUUAAUACUAAAGUGCCCUUUGGUGUUUUAAUAACCCUUUUGAUAGACAAGAAUUUAAUCUUUUACGAAGAAGGAAAGCCUGGAAUUUGUUCAAAAGUGAGUAUACUUUGGUAUGUGGGAUAAAAUAAGACUCCUCCACCCUCAACUUCUAUUCCUGUUUAAUCGUUCUUCCACACAGGGAGCGCUGGAGUAGGAUUAACUUCCAAAAAUUGUCAGCAAGAGAGAAAAUUCACAGCAGGCAUGUUAGCUAUGUUUAUUUGGAUUUAUACAGCUGUAUCUGAAAAUCCUAUCUCUCAGCAAUUUCAUUUUUGUGAGACAUAAAUCCCUUUUGAACCCAUAUUCUGUAGCUUUUACUGAAUGCAAAAUGAAUAACACACACUUUUUUUCAGAAUCUCACCAAACAUUUAGUUUACUUAAAUUGCACAUCAUAAACAUCUCCCCCACCCAGACUCCAGAGUUUCCUGGCAUCUUAUGUUCACCUUCUCACUUGGUUUUCUCUUAUGCAAGGCUUCAUGGAGAUAGAAAUAUCCUUCAGAGUUUGGGCUGAUAUAUGCAGUAAUUACUCUUAGAUGGAUGCGUGUCAGUUUAAAGUGAAAGUCUUCACGUCCUAGUGGAGAGCAGUCCAGAUUAUCACAGGUGCUUGAGAGAUCUUAAGUUAUUCUUCCACUUACAGUUGCACAAAACAAUUGUGGGAGAGAGAAGGGUAACAGACAUUUUUCUCUCUAACUACACCUUUCCCCAGGUGACAAUUAUGCCAUGGGAGGGACAGGUCAGUUAGAGGAAAACAGGGAAACCUCAGCAGGACAAGCCAUAGACCUACUCUUGGAGGUAGCAUCAGUAUUAAUAGCAGUAUAGAUUUGUGUAAACAAUAAUGCCCAAAAACUAACCUAGAACAUGAACCACCAUCCUAAUAACUUCAUAAUGCACAGUAGAGACAGGUUCAGCAUAGAACUCAAUAUAGAAUAUUCCCAUAGAACAGGAAUACUAUUGGGUGGGGAAGAAAGCUGAGUUGGAACAAGCCUAGUAUCUUUGUCAAUACAACCAAAACUGAAAAAUAUCGCCUUGCUUUCUUUGAAGAAGGUAACUGCUUUUAGCAUGGGAACUCUUCAGAAAGACCUGAAGGGUUUGAAAAACAUGGAAUAUCACCAUUUUCACAAUGUCAUUGUUGAGGCUGUGAUACUUAUAUCUAGUUGAGCAAGAGUCUUGCGUGUGAUAUGUGGUAACAGAAGAGGCGUAUUAAGUCAUAAUGUUGAAAGAAACAGCCACCAUUUGCAAUGAUGUAUUUUUGCUUUUUUUACAUGUCUUAAAUGUUAAGUACAAAAGUUCGUAGAAAACUUAGAAAGCCAGGAUUAAGUUCAUACUUGCUUCAAGCAAUGGAGGCUAACUGUAUGUCGUGGUUUGAGCCCAGCCAGUAACUCAGAACCACACAGCCGCUCGCUCACUCCCCCCUUUCUCCCUCCCCCCGCUCCCGGAGGGAUGGGGAGGAGAAUCGGAAGAAUGUAACUCCCACAGGUUGUGAUAAGAGCAGUCCCGCAACUAAGGUAUAAUACAAAACCACUGCUGCUACCACCAGUAAUAAUAAUGAUUAGUGAAAUAACAAGGGGAGAGGAUACAAUUGCUCACUACCCGCCGACCGAUACCGAGCCCGACCUGAGCAGCGAUCAGGGCCUUCCGGGUAACUCCCCCUGGUUUAUAUACUGGGCAUGACGUGCUGUGGUAUGGAAUACCCCUUUGGCCAGUUUGAGUCAGGUGUCCUGUCCCUGCUUCCGCCCGGCUUCCCCUCCUCCCUGGCAGAGCAUGAGACUGAGAAAGUCCUUGGUUGGAAUAAACAUUACUUAGCAACAACUAAAAACAUCAGUGUUAUCAGCGUCGUUCCCAGGCUGAAAGUUAAAAAACACAGCACUGCACCAGCUACUAAAAAAGAGAAAAAUGACUGCUGUAGCUGAACCCAGGACACUGUAUCAGCCAUGGUUUCUUCUCAAUUGAACUAAUUUAAUAACUCAGUAGAAAUCAUUCUCCCUAUAUAUUUCUGUUCAGCAUCUUUUCUUUUAAGGGCUGAUUAUUGCAGUUCCUGUGUAAGUAGGGGAUGUAAGGGAGACUUCUAAUAUUUUAUGCCUUCCAAACUCAGUUGUUAGUUUCUAAUUGGCUUACAGGAAAGCACUAGAAAGGUCAGUUACAGCCACACCAAAGGGAUUAUUUAGACUGAUGUAGAAAUCAGUUGAUAAUUCCCAUUGCACCUUCAAUUCCUUUUGAUUUAAUUUCACUUGACACUGCUGCAGGGAAGAACUGGCUCCUUAAUAAACUAACUCUGUGAAUAUUUUCUACAUGUAACAAAACACUAUAGAGGCUGUUCUUCUUUGCAUAAAAUAUUUAAAUAUUCCCCAAAUAAGGAUUUGGAUGCAAGCCUUCAUGGUCAACAUGUUAACCAUUGGAUCAAAGGGUCAUCCUGAUGCUCUCAUGCCAAUGAUUUAUGAACUUUAAGAAAGUAGCACAGCUUUGGCAAAAGAAACUGAAUACCUCCCAAGAACACUCAGUAGUUCAAAGCAGGCACUGUCCUGAGAGGUGAAAACCCGCACCUGAUCCUUGCUACAGAUGCAGAGCGAUCUGGACCCUGGUAAAUAGGCAUAUAAUCAGCUCUAUGAGCACAUGGCUUAUUAUACUGCUCUCCAGGGUUAAAAUUUUAGGCAGCAACUGAUUUAGGGUACUGAUGAUUUAAUUUUGUACUUAUAAGCAUAUUAUUAAUGCUGUCUACUAGAAAUCUAAGUCUUUUUGUGAAUUAAUGUCUCUGUCUCAAUCCUUUGUAUGCAAUAUAUUGUUCAAUAGAUUUUGUGUUUAAAACUGAGGUCACCUGCCAUUUGAUUCCUGGGUCUGUUACUGCUUUUUGAACUUGAGUUAAUAAUUCACUCUUUCAGCCAGAAUAGAUAUGACGCUGUUUUUCAGAUUCAUCCAUUUCUGAAGGCUCAAGUACAUCUAAACCCUAAAGAUAGUGUUGAUAAACUACAAACUCUUAAGGUUUUCAUAAACCCUGAAGUUUCUGAAAGGUGUUUGAAGUACAAUUUUAGCUUCAAUAAACACAGAAUUGCUACCAAAAAAUCUGCAAAGAGCAGAUUAUAUCCACUCUCUAAUUUGCACUGUUUUAACGGCAAAGAUGUAGAAUACACCAAGCACCAUGCCAAACUAAUUUGUCUUGAACCAAAUAGAAACACAUUGCUUCAGGGGAAAUGUUCAUUAAAAUUGUUUCCAUUGUACCUGCUUCCUCAGACACCUCCUACAUAAUCCAACUUGGUAUUUUGCAAUUAAGUGAAGUUCUUUAAUGCAGUAGCUUUCCUUCUUCUCUCCACCUGCCAAUCAAGUCAUACUACAAAAGCUUCUUCUACAUUCAGCUAGACAGCUGGCUGUAAAGUGCUCACUUUGCUCUUUAAAAAUAACGACAUGCAACCCACCGUUCUGUAUAGUCUGUCAUCAGAUCAUCUGUGUGGCAUAAUCCCCACCCUGCAAUGUCAGAAAGGCAGCAUGUAUUCAGCUGUCUAUCACAUUUUUAUGCUCGUUAAACCUUCGAUGAAGUCAGUGAGCCAAAAUAGAAUGUGAAAAAUAGACCAUCCUUUGCAAGCUUUAUGAAAGGGUACUCAGUCAUUUAAAGAAAAGUAUAGCAUGUAAGUAUGAAAAGAAGAACAGGUAUCACAGAAGAGCAGCUAUUUUUAGCUUCAAUUUCCAUUAAAAUAACAAUCUGCAUCUUUUGUUUAUAUGUUAAUGAAAUAACUUCUCUGCAGCCUAAUGGCCACUUUACUGUAAGUUUUAUGCAGA
ensembl:lncRNA